rnacentral:lncRNA from 1 species
CCCUGGACUCCAGCAUGCCCUGGACUCAGCCUCAGGGGAGGACUCUAGAGAACUCCCAAUACCAUGAACCAGCAUCAACCCACGUGCAAGAGUCCAGGGAGACAGAACACACACACAACCAGUUAUGAAAGCAACUUUAUUACUCACAGGCAGGCAGCAGGGAACAGCAGAAGCUUAGGAUCCAUGGUGAGCGGGUCCCCGAGGCUCGGGAAAGCUGCCCAGAACGAAUGGAGCCUUGUCUAUGUGUGUCCCGCUUCACACCACAGCUGAGAGAUCCCAAAGGUGCACUCUGCUCUGGGUUCCAUAGCCAGGGGUGACUCAUAGGGCUACAGUGUGUGGGACAUCCUGCCCUAGGAGGCACAGGAGCAGAGCCAGGGCUGUCCGGCCGGUCCUUCCCUAGACCAGGUGGUUGCAUUCCUGGCACAUUCUUCAGGUAUUCUCGAGAAGUACGCGUGAGAAGGGAGGGGCUUGUUCAUUCCAAGGCCACCUGGGACUUGUCCUGCAGAUGCCAAGGCAGAAUAGGAAGUGGAUUUAUGGGAUGGGGGCUCCCUGCGAGGGGUAGAAGGGAGAUGAAGGAGGGGCAGGUGGGGAACCCCAGGUGGGGGUGUGGUUGUGGCACCUGUGGAAGGAGAGGGAAGGUAGGUGGCUGGGCAGGACCAGCCUCAGACUGCAGUUCGAGACCGUACUAGCCAGGCUCGGAGGAGCCCUGGGGAAAGAACGCCUUUCGGGGGAGCCCCUGCGCGUGGAACAUUCUGAGUCUACACCUGCCAUUGCCCAAACUGGACUUCCAGCCUCUGGUACCUCAUGUGAGGAGCUCAGGAGCCGCUGCUCCACCCUAACAACAAGUCAGCUGAGCAGACUGAAAAUCAACAAUUCUUCCCACACCCAAAACAGCGGUGAAGACGUAGGUACCUGGUACACCCAAGACUUGAGGGGCUGACGGGCGCUGGCCUGUCAAUGACGGGGCCAUGGUUUGCCGGAGCAGAGACGCAUCCGUGGAAACCACCUCAGGAGCCUGUUCCAGGGCGGGGAAACCCGAACUGUAGCUGAUAGAUCCCUGGAGGCUCAGUGUGGGCAACUCCAAACUCCUCCGGGGACCCAGUCAUGGCAGACACCACGGGGGGAUCCAGUCAUGGGGGACACCAUGGGGGGACCCAGUCCUGGGGGACACCACGGGGGGACCCAGUCAUGGGGACACCACGGGGGCACCCAGUCAUGGGGGACACCACGGGGGGACCCAGUCGUGGCGGACAUCAUGGCGGGGGGACCCAGUCAUGGGGGACACCACGGCAGGGGGACCCAGUCAUGGUGGACACCGCACGUAUGUGAGUUUUACCCCAGGAGUUCUACCACAUUCUCACAGUGAAUAUCAGAAAAAUCUCAUUCUGCAGGUAGGAGGAUGGAAAAUGGAAUCAUUUUGAAACACACCAGAACAUUCUGUCCUUAACAAGAGCUGCCCUCAGGAGAAACUGUUCAGCUAGACUAUAACCUGCCAGGGGAAGAGAAAUAUCCAACUUCCGCCCCCUCGAGCCAUCCUGUCUCAUCUAAGAAAGUGAGGGGUGGGCGGCUGAGAAACCCUUGUGAAGCUCACAGCCCAAUGCACAGUUUCACUAAAGACUGAGGCCUGGUUAGAAGGUUCUAGAAUGCUUCCCCUCCCCCCACAUCUUACAACCACAUCACUAAAGGCAUCUUUACGGCAGGUCUUUAUACUCUGUACAUCAUGUCUGGCUAUCAAGAAAAUAUUACAAGACAUACUAAAAGGCAAAAAAAAAAAAAAAAAAAAAAAAAAAAAAAAACCCAUACCAGAAUUUGAGGAGCCAAAACAACCAUUAAAACCAGACAAGGCAGUUAUGUUGGAAUUAUCAGACCAGGAAUUUAAAACAGCAAUGAUUAAGAUGCCAAGAGCUCUAGUGGGUAAAGUAGACAGCACACAGGAACAGAUGGACAAUGUAAGCAGACAGAUGGAAAGUCUAGGAAGGAACCAAAAAGAAACAUAAAGAUAGAAAACACGGCAACAGAAAUGAAGACUGCCUUUGAUAGGCUCAUUAGGAGACUGGACACAGCUGAGGAAAAAGCCUCUGAGCUUGAGGAUAGCUCAAUAGAAAUUUCCAAAAGUGAAAGGCAAAGAGAACAAUCACUAAAAAAAAAAAAAAAAAUAAAAGAACAGAAUAUACAAAAGCUGUAGGACACCCAUAAAAGGUGUAACACAAAUAAUACCAGAAGCAGAAGAAAGGAAGGAAGGAAGGAAGAAAGGGACAACAAAAAAACUGAAACAAUAAUGACUGAGGGAUCCUCCAAAUUAAUGUCAGACACCAAACCACAGAUCCAGGAAGCUCAGAGAACACCAAGCAGGAUAAAUGCCAAAACAAAACAAAACAAAACAAAAAACACUGCCCCCAAAGAAAACAAACAAGUAAACAAAAUGACACCUAGGCAUCUCAUAUUUAAACUAUGUAAAAUCAAACAUGAACAAAUUUUGAAAGAAGCCAGAAAAAACCUCCCAACACCAACACCUUGCCUGUAGCGGAACCAAGAUAAGAAUGACAUCCACCUUCUCUCAGGAACCAUGUGUCUGAGUCCAUUUUCUACCACUGUAACAGAAUGCCACAGAUGGGGUAAAUUAUCAGGAAGUUUAUUUGGCUCACAGUUCUGGGAGAUGGGAAGUCCAGGAGCUUGGUGCUGGCAUCUGGCCAGGGUCAGUCUAUGGUGAGGGGCAGAGCAGGGACGCAAGCAGGGGAGACAGAGAAAAAAUCAGCCUGAACUCAUCCUUUUAUCAGGAGCCCACUCCCAAGACAACGCACACACUCCUGAGUUAAUGGCACUAAUCUGCUCACGAGGGUGAAGCCCUCAGGAGCUAAUCGCCUCUCAAGGGUCCCAUCUCUCAGUAUUGUCUCAAUGGCAAUUAAAUUUCAACAGGACUUUUGGAGGGGACAUCUGAACCACAGCACCACACAGCAGGAAGAGAGCGGAGUGAGAUAUUUAAAGUGUUGAGAGAAAAAAACCCACCAAGCUAAAAUUGUGCACCCCAUGAAAUUAUCCUUCAAAAGUGAAGGAGAAAUAAAGACUUUUUCAGGAAAACAAAAAUUGAGGGAAUUUGUCGUCAGUAGACUUGCCUUGCAAAAAUCUUGAAGCUUUUUAAAGAGAGGAAAGCAAUAUAGAUCAGAAACUCAAAUCCACGUAAAGAAAGGAGGAACACCAAAGAAGGAACAGUGAGGUAAAAUAAAAUUUUUAAUAUUCUUAUUCUUAGCUGAUCUAACAGAUAACAGCUCUAAAUAAUAACAACAAUGUAUUUAAUUAUAUAUGGCUCCUUAUGUAUCUUGUGUGUGUCUUAUGUACAUAUAUGCUUACAUAUGCUUAGACAUGAUGGAAACAAAUGGCAUAAAUCAUGCAAAGGACACGAAGAAGGAGCUAAGAUUAUGUUGUUGCUGUAAGGAACUCAUGUUACCUGUGAAGCAGUGGAGUGUUUGAAAGUAGACUUGGAUUAAUUGGGGAUGAUAUUGCAAAUUCUAGUGCAAUCACUAACAUAUUCUAAGAAAGGAGAGAAAUGGAACUGAGCAUAUAAGAUGCUCAAUUAGAAUCAUAAAAGGCAGAAAAAGAGUGGGAAAAAAAAACAGGAAAAAAGAACAAGGGCAAAAAAAUAGAAAGUGGUAACAAAAUGGCAGAUGUUAAUCCCAUUAUAUGAAUAAUUACUUUGAACAUCAAUGGUCUAAAUACAACAAUUAAAAAAACAGGGAUUUUUGGCAGGGCGAGGUGGCUCACACCUGUAAUCCCAGCACUUUGGGAGGCUGAGGCAGGCAGACCACAAGGUCAAGAGAUCAAGACCAUCCUGGACAACAUGGUGAAACCUCGUCUCUACUUAAAAAAAAAAACAUGGUGGCAUGCACAUGUAGUCCCAGCUACUCGGGGGGCUGAGGCAGAAGACAUUUUGAACCCAGGAGGAGAAUCGUUUGAACCCAGGAGGCGGAGGUUGCAGUGAGCCGAGAUGGCACCACUGCACUUCGGCCUGGCAACAGAGUGAGACUCUGAAAAACAAAACAAAACAAAACAAAAAAAACAGAGAUUUUAAAAUCAGAGUGGAUAAAAAAUGAUACCCAACUAUAUAUUGUCUACAAGAAACACACUUUACAGUUAGAUACAUAUAGACUAAAAGUAAAUGAGUAGAAAAAGAGACACUGUGUUUACACUGAUGGAAAGAAAGCAGGAGUAGCUAUUUUAAUUUCAGACAAGGCAGACUUCAGAGCAAAGAAAGCUACCAGGGAUGAAGAGAAAGCAUUUCAUAAUGAUAAAGGGGUCGAGUUGUUCAAGAAGACAUAACAAUCCUUAAGGGAUAUGAAUCAAACCGUGUGAGGCAAAAACUGCAAGGAGAAAGCUAUGAAUCCAUGAUCAUGGUUGGAGACUUUAACACGCUCAGUCAGAUAUGACUGAAUUGUCUCCCCAAAAGUUUAUUUAUUGUGCCUUGACCUCAAAUGUGACUGUUUGCAGAAAAGGCUUUUAGGAGGUAAUUGAGGUGCAAUGAGAUCACAAGGGUGGGGUCCUAAUUCAACACCACUGGUGGCUUUCUAAAAAGAGGAUGAGAUUCUCCACCACACAUGUAUCACAGAAAGGCCACGUGAGGAUACAGCGAGAAGGUGGCUGUCUGCAAGCCAGGAAGAGAGCCCUCACCAGAACCUGACUGUGCUGGCACCCUGAUUUUGGACUCCCAGCCUCCAGAACUAUGAGAAGUGUCUGCUGUUUCAGAGACCGGGUUGGUGUGGUAUUUUGUUAGGGCAGCCUGAGCAGAACGAGACAACUCCAAUUCUGCUGAGCGAGUGGUGGGGAUGCCUGGAGGCCGUGGCCCCACUCCUCAGUGUGGGUCUCUAGAGGGGAGGUCUGAGCAGGCACCAUGGUGGCCAGUCCAUGCCUCGGGCCACACAGUCCGACUUCUCCACCCAUGUUGGGGGAGGAGCUCCUCAUGGUUUCUGGGGCCUGUCCCCGAGAGAAGACUUUGCACAGUUAGUGGGGCACACCACAGCCUCCAGCCCUGCAGCUGGCCUCCAUCAUCGCUUCUCACUGGGCUGUGACAGGGGCUCCCUUCUUCCUCCAUCCUCGCUUUUCACCUCCUCUCCCUUGACUAUCACUUCUGUAGGUCUUGCGGGCUUCCCUGGCUAUGUGAGGAGACUGAACCCCUAAUGAUCACACUCUUACUGGGUUGGGGGUGGCUGCACCUGCCCAAGCACAGUGAUGCAGGGCAAGGGCACCCUGAGGUUGGCCUGGCCCCACGAGGUCCCUUCCUGCCUGUGUGCAGCUGCCCCACAUCCUCCGCUGCUCGGAGCCAGCUUCUCCACCAAGACAGCCACUCCUCUCCCGCCUCAACCCUGGACACCAGAGUCCCAGUUCCCGGCAGCAAGGACCUGAGUUGUGGCCCCUGUUAACAGCGUGCCCCCUUAGGAGAUGAGGACCCCCAGCCUUGCCAGCCAGUAUUUCAGGGUCAGGAAGCACCAGGCCCCAAGGGUCACUGGCGGGAAGGGGAGUAGAGAGCACCCCCACUUCUGCCUCUUGGUUCCAGGCUCCUGCUGGUCUUCCUGGUGGCGUCAGAUGUCACACGGUGCCCUGGGUUUCGUGUACCUGGAAGGUGGUGCACUGUCCCCCGGGUUCCUGGCCCCCAUCACACAGGGCUGACUCCAAGGGGGGCUUCAGCUGUGCCUCCAGCAACCGACCAUCCGGUACCUCUCAGUCCAGAAGCUUCUCCAUGGCAGGGUGGCUGAUGCAGCCAGGAGUCCCUUCACCCCGGCCCUGCCUUCGCUGAGCAGUUAAACGCUCUGGGGCGUUGUCACUCACAACUGGGGCUGGCGCUGGCCACUCGGCCUGGCCGCCCUUCCUCAGAGGAGACGAGUGCCUCUCUUCAGGGGCCCCUUGGGCUCUCACGGUUGGCAUAUGCCCUCAGUUUCCUGUUGCUCUUCCACUGGCAUCCACCACCUGGCAAUGCCCAGCCACCCUCCACCCCACGCCUCCCCAAUGCCUGAGCCACAGCCCCUGCCAGGACCUUCCCUCAACCGGUUGCUCUCCAGGCGGCUGCCGGUGCCACCUUGUCCCAGGAGCUACAUCUGCCUCAUUCUAGCUGCAGUGCUCGCUGCUAGACCACAACGGAGCCAGGCUUCCUAUGCUCUGGCAUUUUAAUGCCACCUCAUCAGAGUGAGGCAGGACCCAGGUGGCUUCCCCAGAGAGUUAACCCUGGAGGGAGGCACCGGCAUGAUUAAGACAGAGCCCAGAACCCAGGAAGGAGCCUUCCCCCAGCCACAGAGGGCAAAGACACAGCCUGGGAGGGGCUCUUGGAGAAAAAAAUCGGCAGCUUAUCUAACACGGAUGCACUUGGGAAUAAAGAAACUAAUACUAUGCAUUAGUGUUAGCUGGGACUACAGGUGUGGGCCAUCACACUCAGAUAAUUUUUGUAUUUUUAGUAGAAACAAGGUUUCGUUUCACCAUAUUGCCCAGGCUGGUCUUGAACUCCUGUCCUCAAGUGCUCUGCCCGCCUUGGCCUCCCAAAGUGCUGGGAUUACAGGCAUGAGCCACUGUGCCCAGCCCAGCAUAAAGCUCUUGAAUGGAAAUAGCAUUCCAGAGAAAGACCAGCACCUGCUCCCCCGACACUUCACACCCAGCCUCUGUGCAGGUGAAGGCGUGACUGAGAAAGACCAGCACCUGCUCCCCUGACACUUCACACCCAGCCUCUGUGUGCAGGUGAAGGCGUGACCGAGAAAGACCAGCACCUGCUCCCCCAACACUUCACACCCAGCCUCUGUGUGCAGGUGAAGGCGUGACUGAGAAAGACCAGCACCUGCUCCCCUGACACUUCACACCCAGCCUCUGUGUGCAGGUGAAGGCGUGAUGCUUUCCUCACUUUCCAACGGUGCACAGGUUUUGCUUGUGUAGUCUCUCCCCUUAGAUGGUCCUAGGGCCACUGUCCCCCAGGUUCCUGGUCUCUGCCUCAGCCGCCUCUGCCUGGCCCACCUGGGUCCAUGUGGUGCCACCUGGUGCUGACCUGUCACAGGGGCUGGGAGGGCACCGUCUCCCUCUUGGCUGUUCUUUUCUGCCACUUCCAGACGGGGGUGAAAUGCCGCCCUGCAAGUGGCCAAGAGCACUCGUGCUGAGCAACCUGCUGCAUCUCUUUGCAGCUUGUCACAGCCAGGUGUCAGACACUAACGCUGUUCCUGGCUUUGCUGCCAAUUCUUCCCUGAAUCACUACUGCCUGGAAUUGUAUUUUCUUAGUAAAUGACUCACGCUUAACCCUUGCCCCAGGCUGUUUUCUAGGCAGUCCUGGAGUAUCAGCUAUCUUUUGCUGCAUAGCAAACUGCUCCCAAAUUUAGUGGGUUAAACAAUUUUCUUUGCUCAUGAUUCUGUGGGUCAGGCUUUUGGGCUGGGCUCAGCUGGGCAGUUCUCUAUGGUUACUGUGCAGCUUGGCCAUCUGGCAGCUGUCCUGGGCUGGAUGUGGCAAUGCCUCUCAUGAGGCUGGCAGCUGGCGCCCGCCCCUGACUGGUUGGUCCAGGAGGCCUCAGCUGCUCCACGCAGCUGCUGCUACUCCAGAGGGCUAGACCUGGCUGCCUCACAGCCUUCAGGGAAGGUUCUGCAAGGCAGGAGCAGAAGCUGAGCAGCCUGGAGGCCUUUCCUGGGGUGGUCCCUCCUGGCUCCUCUGCCACUCUCUGUGGGUCAAGGUAAGUCACAGCCCAGCCUGGAUUCAAGGGACAGAGAAAAGUCUUCACCUCUUGAUAACAGAGCAGCAGAGUCUCAUUGCAGAGGCACGAGGCAAAGAAGGGAGGGAUUGUGCCAUCUUCACAGAUGUCCUGCGAUGCCAGUCUGAGACAACCGCCAUAACACUGUCCCUAAUGUUACUUUGGAAGACAGGAAACAGGAAUCUGGAGCCUAAAUUCCAGGGAGGGAGAGAUGAAGUUGUUGUUAUUUAGAUGAUGUAACUGAAAAUCUGGGGAAGGCGAAGGAGUCCAUUGAGAUGGCAUUAGGAUGAUCAGUGAAGCUUUAAUUUUAAUUUUUUCCAUCAGCGAGGGAGCCGGGUUUUCAGCUGCACGGAUGACAUUGAUGCACAGCACUUGCAAUGAGACCUUCAUCCCGUGUCUCCCUGUCUCCCAUCCCUCCUGGCUUACACUACUACCCUGUCACCACUUUGAGGGUUUUGCAGCAUCAACAGCUCUCUCUGGGUAGGUCGCCUCCCCCUGACACAAAGGUGCUCAGACGCCCUCCCACAACCCUCACUGCUAAGCUCAGGGGCUCUGUGUUCCCCUGACCCCCUUCCGCACCUUCCUCUUGCUCUUCACUGACUCUACCUCAGGCUCCACCCUCACGCCCCCACCUGAGCCUGAAGGGGCAGGGCUCCUCCGCGCCACACUCCCUCCUCAGCGGUCUCACCAGGACCUGUGUGCUGUACCUGCAAAACAGGGCACAUCCCAUCUUCCAUGUGUCAAUCAUCUUCCAUGUGUCAAUCAUCUUCCAUGUGUCAAUCAUCUACCAUGUCAGUCUUCCAUGUGUCAAUCAUCUUCCUUGUGUCAGUCUUCCAUGUGUCAAUCAUCUUCCUUGUGUCAAUCUUCCAUGUGUCAAUCAUCUUCCAUGUGUCAAUCAUCUACCACGUGUCAAUCUUCCAUGGGUCAAUCUUCCAUGUGUCAAUCUUCCAUGGGUCAAUAACAUAUUUCUGGCUUUUUUAUGCUCUGUCAGUUUUGAACUUCCCACUCUGGUCUUUUUUCCCUCUUAGAAUUAAUUAAUGGAAUUCCUACACCUGGCCUUAAAACCUGCCAGUUAGCUGGGUGUGUGGUGUGUGCCUGUGGUCCCAGCUGCUCAGGAGCUGAGGUAGGAGGAUCACUGCAGCCCAGGAGUUCAUGUCCAGCCUGGGCUACAGAGCAAGACACUAUCCCUUUGAAAAAAAACCUGCCAGCUCUCCCAAUUUCUGGUGAAAUAAAUCUUGACAAAGUAAGAAGUGAAAAAAAUUCCCUCUUUGUUUACAGCUGCAGAAAAGCAGACGCAAUUCUGUACCAUAAACCGCCCUACAGGUCUCAAAGACACAUUUGUACACCGUGUUCAUAGCAGCACUAUUCACAACAGCUAAAACAUGAAAGCGACCCAAGCCUCUGUCAAGGGAUGAGUGGGUGAGAAAAUGUGGCCCAUUCAUACGAUGGGAUGUUAUUCAGCCUUAAAAAGGAGGGAGAUUCCGAGACUCACCACAGCACGGAUGAACCUUGAGGACACUGUGCUGAGUAAAAUAAGCCUACACAAAAGGGCAAGUACUGUGUAAUUCCACGUAAGAGGUCCCUGGAGCAGUCACAAGUCACAUUCCCAGAGACAGAAGGUGGAAUGGUGGGUGCCGGGGUGGGGACGGGAGAGGGGGAAGUGAAUGUUUAAUGGUGGCGAGUUUCAGUUUGGGAAGACUAAAAGGUUCUGGAGAUGAAACCUUUUACAUCCUUUUACAUAUUAAACCUUUUACAUAUUAAAUAUAUUCAUGAUGUGCAGCCAUCAUGAACAUAUUUAAUACCUCUUAACCAAAUACUUAAAAUGGUUAAGAUGGUACAUUUUAUGUUUAUGUAUUUUACCACAAUGCUUUAUUUUUCUUCUUUUGGAAAAAAAGAGGCGAUGCUUAACCCUGAAGAAAAGCUGUGCAUGACUCGGGAGGGAAAGGCCCUUCCUGCAGGAGCCUCACCCCCCUCAGCAGCGUCUGCCUCAGGAGGGGAAGACCCUUCCUGCAGGAUCUCCCGAGCAGCGUCUGCCUCACAGAGAAACAAGCCAGACCUCAGCACUCGCUUGCAGACUCCAGACUGUGGAGGGUUUAGAAGACUCUGCCUGUGGCCCCCACUCUCAGAGCCCUGUUCUGCAAACCCAAGGGGAUCAACAGCCUUUCUGAUGUCUGCAUGGGUUUACUGUUGGCUACGUUUAAAUGACAACACAUGUUCUAAAGUAAAAAAUAAGCAAUGGGCCUGGUGCAGUGGCCCACGCCUGUAAUCCCAGCACU